rnacentral:rRNA from 1 species
GUGCCAGCCGCCGCGGUAAUACGUAGGUGGCAAGCGUUGUCCGGAAUUAUUGGGCGUAAAGCGCGCGCAGGCGGGAUAUCAAGUCUGUCUUAAAAGUGCGAGGCUCAACCUCGUGAGGGGACAGAAACUGGUAUUCUUGAGUGUCGGAGAGGAAAGUGGAAUUCCAAGUGUAGCGGUGAAAUGCGUAGAGAUUUGGAAGAACACCAGUGGCGAAGGCGACUUUCUGGACGAUGUCUGACGCUGAGGCGCGAAAGCUAGGGGAGCGAACGGGAUUAGAUACCCCGGUAGUCCUAGCCGUAAACGAUGGGUACUAGGUGUAGGGGGUAUCGACCCCUCCUGUGCCGGAGUUAACGCAAUAAGUACCCCGCCUGGGGAGUACGGCCGCAAGGUUGAAACUCAAAUAAAUUGACGG